UUUUGUAGUAUUUAAAGAUAAUUUAUUCACAUUUAACCAUUCAGCAACUUUAUCAAUUUCUGUUUGUAUAAUAUUACUAAGUGUUUUUAGACACUUGUUACUAUAAAAUAUAUUAGUGUCAUCUGCAAAUAAUAUAAAUGAAAUCAAUUUACUGCAAUUUUCAAUAUCAUUUAUAUAAAGCAGAAAGAGUAUUGGCCCAAGAAUUGACCCCUGUGGGACACCACUCUUAAUUACCAUUUCUUUUGAUUUAAUUUGGUUGAAUUUAACAAUUUGUUUUCUAUUUCUUAAAUAAUCUUGAAACCAUAAUUGAGUUAUUCCCCGUAUACCAUAGUGAUCAAGUUUUUGGAUCAAUAUCUUGUGAUCAAUUGUGUCAAAGGCUUUUGACAAGUCGAGGAAAAUACCUAUCGUGUAUUCUCCUUUAUCGAUUGCUUUAGUAAUUCUGUCAACAAGUUCUAUGAUUGCAAGUUCAGUGGAUCUAUUUUCCCUAAAACCAUACUGACGUUGUGUUAAUAUGUUAUUUUUUUCUAUGUGGUUAAUUAAUCUCUUAUACAUAAGCUUUUCUAAUAAUUUAGAAAAACAAGUGAGAACAGAUAUGGGCCGAUAAUUUUUAAAUUCAUUCUUUUCGUUUUCCUUGAAAAUAGGGGUAACUAGAGCUAUUUUUAGAUCAUCAGGUAUAAUUCCUGUGAGGAAAGUCAAGUUGAACACAUGUGAAAGUGGUUCAGAAAUUUCUGUAGCAACUGUUUUGAUAACUUGUGAACUUAUUCCAUCAUACCCAGGGCUUUUUUUGGAAUUCAAAUUGUUUAUCUCAUUUUCUAAUUCAUAUUUAGUUAUUGGACUAAUAAAGAAGCUAUUUUUACAGCUGUUAGUGAGAUAUUUAUCAAAGGCUGUUUUGGAAUUCGGGAGCUUUUUUGCUAGACUUGGGCCAAUAUUUACAAAAUAGUCAUUGAAUCUAUUUGCUAUUGCAUUUGGAUCAGUAAUUUUUUCUCCUGGACUAUUACCAUUAAAUUCUUUUGGUAACAUCCUAUUUAUCUUAUUUCGGUUCACAAUUUCAUUUAAUGUUUUCCAUAAUACCUUUGUAUUAUGUUUAUAUUUUAUUAAUUGUUCUUCAUAAUAUUUCUUUUUUGCCACUUUUAUUACAUGAUUUAAUUUAUUUUUAUAUUUUUUGUAUAUUUUUUCGUUUUUUCCUUUAGGGUAUUGGAGGUAUUUUUUAUAUAACUUGUUCUUUUGUUUAACUGAUUUUGCAAUACAACUUGUCAUCCAUGGGCUUCGAUUUUUGUCAAUCUUUCUUUUCGUCACUUUCUUUCUUAAUGGAAAGUUUUUUUCAUAGGAUGUUGAAAAUAAGUUGAAAAAUUUGUUGUAGGACUCUGUAGUGUUGUUUUCAGAAAGCACAUUUUCCCAUGAUAUAUUUUUAAUUGUAUUAGUAAAUGAUUGAACAUUGGCAUCAUUGAUAAUCCUUUUACAGGUAAAUUCAGUUUUUGAAGUUUUUUCAUGGUAAUUUUUUGAAUUUCGUAUAUGAACU